rnacentral:tRNA from 1 species
CGGGGUGUGGCCUAGUGAUUAAGGCGUCCGCUUUGGGAGCGGAAGAUCGCAAGUUUGAAUCUUGUCACCCCGA